GGACUACCCGGGUAUCUAAUCCUGUUUGCUCCCCUAGCUUUCGUUCCUCAGCGUCAGUAGUGGUCCAGCGCGCCGCUUUCGCCACGGGUGUUCCUGCAGAUAUCUACGCAUUUCACCGCUACACCUGCAAUUCCACGCGCCUCUCCCACACUCUAGCACGGCAGUUUCGGAAGCAGCCCCUGAGUUGAGCCCAGAGAUUUCACUCCCGACUUGCCACACCGCCUACGAACCCUUUACACCCAGUAAUUCCGAGCAACGCUGGCCCCCUACGUCUUACCGCGGCUGCUGGCAC
rnacentral:rRNA from 1 species